ensembl:lncRNA
AUUUUUGUGUCCUAAUCGAUCCACUGCAUCGUCCAUUGGCAAGGUGGUCGGAGUGUAUUCGAAGAAUGUGAUACCAAAAUUAGCUGUAAACACGAUAUUCUUUGACACAUCCAUCUAUGCCACAAACUUCACGGAAAUCUGGACUAUGGCUAUGUGCAGAAUUAAUAUGACUCAGUAGGGAUUUGAGGGUCAGACCCACAAAAACGAUGUAGAUAACACAGCGCCAAAUCAUUUUGUUUUACUGGUCUGUGAACUACUUUUCCCAUAAAGUCAAGAUAACCAGGAUUAUUCCAUUAUGGGGUAGGAAUGGCUAUCCUAAUUCAGUGCCUUAAAACAGCUGUAGUAAGUAACAGUACCCACACAUCAGUAUUUACAGAACAUAAUCUAACUAAAUAGUCAAAUAUUUAAAUAUAUAUCAUUUUAUAGGUAUAAAAGAGCGAACUAAACCAUUUCCGUACACAACCCCAUACUCCUGAGUUGGUACAGCCCACCUUCCCGCCUCUAGCUCCGUGCCUAAACGGUUGGAUUGCAGGAUCAGAGGUCUGGGUGUAGAUGCGAUACAGUUGGUACAGUGUGAAGAAAUUAAGGCACGCUAUGGAAAAACUGGACGAAAUAACAAUUGCCAACCUGAAAGGUAUGUGACUGUUUUGUUUUUUCUAUGUUUUGUGUUUUGGUAUGUUGCAUGUUAAGUCGCUAGCAUGGCAGGCUAUACCCGGUUGUUAGCUUAGCUUAGCUGUGCGGUUAGCUUAGUUGCAUUAGCAUUUUUAAAUAUGCUAGUGCAGAGAGUUAUGAAAGAAUUCAUGUCCAGUUAUUAGUUUCAGUGUCUGUGAAUUUAUUCAACAAGUGUGCAAAGUGCCAUAAGUUAAUGCCAGUUUUACAGAAAUUGUGGGAGUUUCAAAUUUCCAUUAGUGAAGUUAUUUCAUUAUAUACUUUAGCCCAGGAAGCAAAAAAAAAAAAAAUACAUUUAUAUGUAUACAUGCAUUUAAUUGAUGUAUCACAAAUAUAUUACUUUUACCAGUCAAUAGGAGGAAGGUAAUUUAGAACCUGUGGAGCAGUGAGGAGGGAGUAUAAUGGAAUAGAGUCAUGGUUUUAAAUGAAGCAAAUGUUGGAGAAGACCUGCUCUCAUCACUUUCACGAGAUGACAUCAAAGAUCUGUUUCCUGGUCCUGAACAUUUCCUCAGGCGUCGGGCUCUAUGGCUUGCAGUGCACAAAUGUGAAGAAAACAAGACUGCUGCUGAAAAAACGCUAACAACUACUGGAGAUGGUGACUUCUCCAGAGAGGAACCCAGCACUUCUAAGUUUGUGACUAUGUCCAACCCAGAGUACAUAGUCUUCACAGACAGUGAACUUGAGCAAGCUCGACAUUCCUACUUUGAAAAGAAGCAACUGGGGACAGAGUGUGCUGAACCUUUGUCAAAGGAACUCUUUUGUCGACUCGUAAGAAACACCAUGACAAACAUGAUUUCGAUAGCAAGAGCAGCUGAGGACUCCAGAUACCCCAGCAAACAUGAGGUUGAUGCCAUGGCAAAGCGAUUAAUGGAGUACUACCCAAUGCUUAAAGAAACGUGUGGUGAGUGGGAGCAUGUUGCUAAAAAGCUAAUGAAGAGACUCUCCAAUGUCAAAAGUCCAAGGAAGGGCAAAAAACCUCCUGCGAAGAAGCCAAGAAAGGAUGGGAAUGAAAGUGUUGCAAAAAGUGACAGCAGUGGGGAGUCCAGUGCAUCAACUAUUAUUCUAGAUAAAUCACCAGUUAGAUCGAUGGGCACCCCAGUGCACCACCAGGAUGGCAGUGAUGAAGAAUCUGGUUCAGCUGACUUCUUUGACAGCCAAAAAACCCAGGCAAAACACUACAAGACACUUCAAGAAAUAUACAAGACCAAAAAACCGAACGAAGCUGCUGUUACCCAACUGCUGAACCUGGAGUUUGAGUCUAGAAGACAAUUCAUUAACUCUGAUGCUAUAAAGGAGCAGGACAGAGCAGUGAAGAUACUAGAGGCAUAUCCUUGUUUCAGAGAACUGGAUCAUGUCCUUGAUGAGCUGCGGAGAAUUAUUCAACCAUCCAACUUGAAAUACAUUUCUGAGAUGAAGGAUAGAUGGGAAAUCUUCUACUCGAAGGUGCAGUUUUAUGGUGUCAUGAAGAAAGUUAUGAAGCCGCCAAAAACUUUGGAUGGAGUGGAACAUGCAGCAGCUGUGUUCAGAGCCCUUCCCAUGCUUUUCCCUUCCAGCACAGUACCACCUAAGAAGCUGGGCAUCUGUAGUGAGGCUUUUUUCCAUGUCCUAAAGACUUCAGAAGACCCUGAAGGCUACCUGCGUCAGCGACCCCUGGCUUGUCCAGUUCUGCUUGUCUCUGAAGGCAACUGCAUGAUAGCUGUUGGAACCACACCGGUGAGCACUUUUGAACGGAAGGAUCUUAAUGAGGGACUGCUCUAUCUGAUGGCAUAUUACUAUGCCCUCCACCUCACAUAUCCAUAGUGCAUUUCCACGCUGCUGUCUGUCUUGCAAACUGAAAUACUCAAAGACUCCAUCCACCGAGAUUCAACCCCCUCUUACAAGAAGGCGCUUGGUGAGUGGAAGUCAUUCAUUGAGUGAGUCUCUCAGAUGACAGACUCCAUCUGCCUUGUUUAUCAGACUCAGUGUUAGUCAGUGAGGUUGUUUUUUUUUUCUUUAGAAAAGUUGUUCAAAUGUAAAACACAUGUUUGUUUGUGUGGUCGUUAAACUUGUUCUUCUAAAAUGUUAUGUAAUAUAGGAUUUGAAAUAGUGAUUGUUUUAAGCUUCAGCAAAAUUUAUUUUUGAUACCAGCUAUGAGUGUGUUAUACUGUUAUUAUUCAUGUUAAGAGUAUCUUGAAUAUGCACUUCUUAUAUUGGCCAUGUUACACAGUACCCUGCUGAAAUGUAUAAUUUUAGACAUGAUUCUCCUGGAACAGACCUCAGUGAGUUACUGACCCAUUGCUGUGUCAAUAAAAGCGCAAAAACUAAGA